rnacentral:rRNA from 1 species
GCUUACGGCCAUACCAGCCUGUGUACGCCCGAUCUCGUCUGAUCUCGGAAGCUAAGCCGGGUCGGGCCUGGUUAGUACUUGGAUGGGAGACCGCCUGGGAAUACCAGGUGCUGUAAGGA